UUAUUUUAUGAAGAAGCCUUUGUCCUGCCCAUAGACCCAUGUCCAUAUGAGAUUGGAUGUGUCCUGAUUAGGCUCCUUAUUUGCAUAAGAGGAUAUCAGCUACAUUCUGUUCUCAUUGAUUAUCCAAGUCUAAUCAUUGCUGGCUCCUGGUCAUCUGACCUCUGGUUCUUGAAACUUGAGCUAGCAGCUUACCUGCCGAUCUUGGGUUCGCCAUCCCCUGCAGCUACAUGAAUCAGGAGAAGCCUCCAGCCUGACCUACUGAUUUGGGAUGUUCCAGCCUCUACAAUUAACUGAGAUUACAGAUUUCUAAUUGCUUUUCUUGGUGCUUGUGUGGGAUCUUAGACCUGAUCAUGACGCUAUCUUCCCAGAACUCCUCCUAGGUAUUUAUUUUUAAAAAUUUCUUAGAUAUUUUUGCUAUUUGUCUUUUCAAUACCUUUUUUAAGAGUUUAC